CUACGGGGGGCAGCAGUGAGGAAUAUUGCACAAUGGAGGAAACUCUGAUGCAGCAACGCCGCGUGGAGGAUGACGCAUUUCGGUGUGUAAACUCCUUUUAUAUGUCAAGAAAAUGACGGUAGCAUAUGAAUAAGCACCGGCUAACUCCGUGCCAGCAGCCGCGGUAAUACGGAGGGUGCAAGCGUUACUCGGAAUCACUGGGCGUAAAGGACGCGUAGGCGGGAUAUCAAGUCAGGUGUGAAAUCCUACAGCUUAACUGUAGAACUGCACUUGAAACUGGUAACCUAGAGUAUGGGAGGGGGAGAUGGAAUUAGUGGUGUAGGGGUAAAAUCCGUAGAUAUCACUAGGAAUACCUAAAGCGAAGGCGAUCUCCUGGAACAUAACUGACGCUAAGGCGUGAAAGCGUGGGGAGCAAACAGGAUUAGAUACCCGCGUAGUC
rnacentral:rRNA from 1 species